rnacentral:lncRNA from 1 species
UGAAUAUGGUCCAUCUCACAGCUAACAUAUUUUCUAAAUAUUUCUAGAUGUAUCUUUUGAAGACUUUUCAUCUUACAUGACUGAACGCCCAAAAGUACUUCAUAGACCAUCUAAGACUAGGCCAGGUUUUUAUAAAGCCAUCAAUUUUCCUUCACUGAAUAAAGAACAUUCAGGGCAUCAAAAAAGAUCAACCUUAGAAAAAAAGAAUAUUGAACAUGAAGAGACUCUGCCCACUGUGAUUGCUACAACUAGAAAACCUGUCUAUAAAGUAAAAAAUGUACAACUUAUAUGGCAAGAAGAAAUCAUGAACUGAGCAUAAAAUAUCAAUCAAGAGAAGAUAAAUGGAGUGAUUCUUCACUAAUUACUGAUUAUUGUCUGAAACUGAGAAAGAUCCAAGAGGUAACAUAGAAAUUAUAUGUAUUAAUA